GCUAAGUGAUGGCGAAAAGAGACGGUAGUACGGAGGGGGCGGUCGUUAAUCGGAAUUACUGAGCGUAAAGCGUUCGUAGGUGGCUUGGUAAGUCAGAUGUGAAAUACCUAAGCUUAACUUGGGAAUUGCAUUCGAUACUAGGAAGCUAGAGUAUGGGAGAGGGUGGUAGAAUUCCAGGUGUAGCGGUGAAAUGCGUAGAGAUCUGGAGGAAUACCAAUGGCGAAGGCAGCCAUCUGGCCUAAUACUGACGCUGAGGUACGAAAGCAUGGGGAGCAAACAGGAUUAGAUACCCCUGUAGUC
rnacentral:rRNA from 1 species